UUCAUCCAUCGAUGCAUGCGC
rnacentral:miRNA from 1 species